rnacentral:snoRNA from 1 species
AGAACAUGAUGACUGGAGCUGGAAUGAUACCUGAUUAAUGUCUCCAAGUCAUCAGGACUUGCAAAAUAGACGUAUCUAUCUCCACAAAGAAAGAAACUGAGGAU